AGAGUUUGAUUCUGGCUCAGAACGAACGCUGGCAGCGUGGAUUAGGCAUGCAAGUCGAACGGGAAUCUUGAGUAUAGCAAUAUAUUUGAGAGGAUAGUGGCGGAAGGGCGAGGAACGCGUGAGUAACCUGCCCUUAGGCUAGGGAUAACCCGCCGAAAGGUGGGCUAAUACCAAAUGUGAUCCUCCUACGCAUGUAGGGGUGAUUAAAGACGGGGAUCCUUCGGGACCUGUCGCUUAAGGAGGGGCUCGCGUCCCAUCAGCUAGUUGGUGAGGUAAUGGCUCACCAAGGCUUACGGGUAGCUGGUCUGAGAGGAUGGUCAGCCGCACUGGGACUGAGACACUGCCCAGACUCCUACGGGAGGCUGCAUUCGAGGAUCUUUUGCAAUGCACGAAAGUGUGACAAAGCGACGCUGCGUGGAGGAUGAAGGCCUUCGGGUCGUAAACUCCUGUCAUCCGGGAACAAUGAGUUUGCCGUUAAUAACGGCAGAAAGUGAUGGUACCGGAAGAGGAAGCCACGGCUAACUCUGUGCCAGCAGCCGCGGUAAUACAGAGGUGGCGAGCGUUGUUCGGAUUUACUGGGCGUAAAGGGUGCGUAGGCGGUUCUGUGUGUCGGUUGUGAAAUCCCACUGCUCAAUGGUGGAACUGCAAUCGAAACUGCGGGACUAGAGUGCAUGAGGGGAGAGGGGAAUUCUUGGUGUAGCGGUGAAAUGCGUUGAUAUCAAGAAGAACACCGGUGGCGAAGGCGCCUCUCUGGAAUGUUACUGACGCUGAGGCACGAAAGCUAGGGGAGCAAACAGGAUUAGAUACCCUGGUAGUCCUAGCUGUAAACGGUGUACAUUUGGUGUGGGAGGAAUUGACCCCUUCCGUGCCGGAGCUAACGCGUUAAAUGUACCGCCUGGGGAGUACGGCCGCAAGGUUAAAACUCAAAGAAAUUGACGGGGGCCCGCACAAGCGGAGGAGCAUGUGGCUUAAUUCGAUCAACGCGAAGAACCUUACCAGGGUUUGACAUUCAGCUGCAAGUCCUAUGAAAGUAGGAUUCCUUCGAGGGUGCUGAACAGGUGCUGCAUGGCUGUCGUCAGUUCGUGCCGUGAGGUGUUUGGUUAAGUCCAGCAACGAACGCAACCCCUGUGGUUAGUUGCCACUCCCGAUGAUGAGUCGGGAAGCACUCUAGCCAGACUGCCCGUAUAAGCGGGAGGAAGGUGGGGAUGACGUCAAGUCAGUAUGGCCUUUAUACCCUGGGCUGCACACGUGCUACAAUGGCCGGUACAGAGGGAUGCAAGACCGUGAGGUGGAGCAAAUCCAAUAAAACCGGCCCCAGUUCGGAUUGAAGUCUGAAACUCGACUUCAU
rnacentral:rRNA from 1 species